AAUAGAUACCCUGGUAGUCCACGCCGUAAACGAUGAGUACUAGUUGUCGGGGGUAUCGACCCCCUCGGUAACGAAGCUAACGCGAUAAGUACUCCGCCUGGGGACUACGGCCGCAAGGCUAAAACUCAAAGGAAUUGACGGGGGCCCGCACAAGCAGCGGAGCGUGCGGUUUAAUUCGAAGCGACGCGAAGAACCUUACCAGGGCUUGACAUGUUGAGGACCGCCGGUGAAAGUCGGCUUCCCUUCGGGGCCUCAUCACAGAUGCUGCAUGGUCGUCGUCAGCUCGUGCCGUGAGGUGUUGGGUUUAGUCCCGCAACGAGCGCAACCCCUGUCGCCAGUUGUACUUCUCUGGCGAGACUGCCCGGAGCAACCGGGGAGGAAGGCGGGGAUGAUGUCAGAUCAGCAUGGCUCUUACGUCCUGGGCCACUCGCACGCUACAAUGGGCAGUACAGACCGUUGCGAAACCGUGAGGUGAAGCUAAUCGGAUAAAGCUGUCCUCAGUUCGGAUUGCAGGCUGCAACCCGCCUGCA
rnacentral:rRNA from 1 species